CAAGUCGAGGGGCAGCAUUGGAGUAGCAAUACUCAGAUGGCGACCGGCGCACGGGUGAGUAACACGUAUCCAACCUGCCGCUUACUCGGGGAUAGCCUUUCGAAAGAAAGAUUAAUACCCGAUGGUAUAAAGAGUUCGCAUGUUCUCUUUAUUAAAGAAUUUCGGUAAGCGAUGGGGAUGCGUUCCAUUAGAUAGUUGGCGGGGUAACGGCCCACCAAGUCUACGAUGGAUAGGGGUUCUGAGAGGAAGGUCCCCCACAUUGGAACUGAGACACGGUCCAAACUCCUACGGGAGGCAGCAGUGAGGAAUAUUGGUCAAUGGACGAGAGUCUGAACCAGCCAAGUAGCGUGAAGGAUGACUGCCCUAGUGGGUUGUAAACUUUCUUUUAUAAGGGAAUAAAGUGAGGGACGUGUCCCUUUUUGUAUGUACCUUAUGAAUAAGGAUCGGCUAACUCCGUGCCAGCAGCUGC
rnacentral:rRNA from 1 species